AAGUCGUAACAAGGUUUCCGUAGGUGAACCUGCGGAAGGAUCAUUAACACAUUUUAAUACGUCCUUCAACCAACUGUGCAUUUGAACAUGUAUUGUGACUUUUUGUUGCAAUAUACAUUUUCUUUUAACUUUUUGAACCCAUUUUAUCAUUUUUGCUUCUUGUUUGAUUGUGUCAUAACAAUCACUCGAAUAUUAAUAUUUUAAUAGUCGAUACAACUCUUAGCAAUGGAUAUCUUGGUUCUC
rnacentral:misc_RNA from 1 species